GAUCUCCUGAUGUAUUGAGAGGUCGUUUAUCUCCAGCAGACAGUGGAAGAUGUUGAUGCUUCUGUCAGGAGAGAUCUUGUUUGUGUUCAUCUUCUUCAGGUUGUUGAUGGCUCUCUGGAUGAUUUCUGGACUGUUGUCUGUCCGACCCAAAAGGCCUCCUAACAGUCUCUGGUUGGACUCCAGAGAGAGGCCAUGAAGGAAGCGGACAAACAGAUCCAGGUGACCAUUUUUACUUUGGAGGGAUUUCUCCAUGGC